AAGCCAGACCAGAAAGGGCCCCGUGCGCAACGUGCUUCACAAUCUCUCAGGAGGAAGACAAACAUAAAGAUGAAGUGCUUAAUUCAAGGUCACACAAUGUCGGGGAUGGACCUCCAGAUUUCCUUACUGACCUGCAUUAUCUUGUGGAUACCUGAGUGAAUUCCACACCACCCAUUUUAUAGAUGAAACCACUGAGACAUGGAGCAAUUGACUGAGUAGUCACUGCCCCACCCCUGCCUGGAGCCUCACACAUGACUCGCCUCCUCUCAGUGACCACAGGUUGGUUGAGGGGUUUAACAAGGCUAAGAAGGAAAACAAGCUCAGGGCUCCCACUGAUUGUACAUUAUGGUGAGACGUGGUCUUGUAACACAGUGGUUAAGAAUGUGACUUUGGAGCCAGCCUGCUAGGGGCUGAAUUCUGACUCAGCCAUUUACUAACUGUGUGACCUUAGGGAGGAGGACCUGGUUGAUAGAAGAAUUUAUCUCGUAGUCUUAACAUCCACUGUAAUUCCAAACUUUGAGGACGAUAGAGAUCAGUGGGCUUUGACUGCCCAGCAUGCAGUCUCCAUU
ensembl:lncRNA PCBP1-AS1 PCBP1 antisense RNA 1